GGAGAGGGAGGCAGCUGGGCUGGGGGUUAUUAGGGGAGAACGCACACAGGGGGCUGGAGAGGGGGGUGGCGAGGGCUGGGGGCUACCAGGGCUGGUGGGGAGGGGAUGGAGCUGGCUCCUCGCAGAGCUUUCAAAGGAGAUUUCUCGCACUGGGGGGGGAGGAGGGAGAGGGGGAAUUGAGUCAUUUUGGGCAUGAAACGCAAAGCUCGCCGCGUCAAGGAACAAGGAAGUUUUUUAAAGCUCCAAUUAAAGGGCUUGGAGAGGUCCGGGGCUUUUAAACAGCCUCGGGAAGGAGUGUAGGGGGGGGGGUGUGGGGGGGUCCUGGCUGGCGUUCAGGCUGCCGGCCCAUCAGGACAUUCCUUUCUGCUGAACGCUGCUGCUCCCGGCCCUCUCCUCCUCCUUUUCCAAGCUGCCGUCGAAUCCUUUCCAAGUCCCGCGUCCGAACCCGGGGAACUUUUUGCUCCGUUUCAUCUCUCGCCGCCUGCCUCCCCCGGCCUCAGGCUGCGCUCGGGGCUUUGAUCCCGCUCCGAGCCCCCCGGGCGAGGGGUUCUGGGCUCACAGCUCACCCCCAGAGCCACCAGCAACCCUCCCUGGGGUGCUCUCUGCCCAUUAUCGCCCCAAAAGUCCCCUCUCUGGAGGAUGGAGACCCCCCAUCUGCUGUCACCUCCUUGCUGCCCCGUUGGGGGGGGACCUGGCCCUAAAUGGGAUGGGAUGGGAUGGGGUGGGGUGGGGUGGAAGCACCCGCUGGGGUAUCCAGGGGGUGGCCUGGGCAGAGCUUUUGGAAGGGUCCCACCGGGGACAACCCGUGGGGGACGUGCGAGCACCGUGGGGUGCCCAUGGGGACAGCUCAGGACCUGCUCCAGGGCUUUCUGUGGCUCCAAGAUCAUGGUGGCAUCCCCCGCAGAUGCUCUGGAGCAGGGUUAGUGGCGCAUUUUCCUCCCAGGUACCUUCUCAUUGCCUUCUACAAACGCCCAGCACAGGAGGAAGCCCUGCACCAGCUUCACCUGCCCGUGCUCCUGAGCCCUGGCACCGGGACGGGGCUCGCCCAGGCUCGGGGAGGGAACUUGUCCUGCUGGGGCUGGGGAUUUGGAGCUGCCUUUUGCAGGGGCUUUGUGUUGUUUUGUUUUUUUUUGGUUUCAGCACAGCCCAUUUCUCUCUGGCGAACGUUUGGGAGAAAGGAGUUCUUUGUUACAGAUUGAACAGCCUGAGGUCCUCAAGUCAGCUCGCACGGGGAGGCAGUAGGUGGGCUCUGGGAAGUUGAGGUGUCCGAGGGACGGGCUGGUUUGACACCGCUCGAACCCCUAAAGGCAGGAAACAGAAUCGGGGUUCGUGCACCCAGCUCCCAGAGCAAACCCGAGCAGGAGCGCUGCGAAGCGCCACCACCAUCUGCCAAGGCUUUGUCUUCGCAGAGGAGGUGGCAGGGGGAACACCCAGCUUGCCGAGCUCUCCAUUACAGGUUGCUUCUGAGCUGCAGCUCUUCGGAAAAAAACACUUCUUUCUCUGGGUUUCCAGGAAGCAAAAUGUUGCCCUCCACUGUUUGCUGAGGAUCUGGAACGCAGCUCGCUGCCUCGCAGCCCAGCUGGUGCCGUGCUCCGGCACCACGGCCCCUCAAUCCCAUGCCAGGAGGUUUGGGGAGGGACAGCCCCUGCCCAGCCUGGAGGUGCUGAGCACACCCGCAGGAGGUCCUGUGCCCCUCCACCAGCCCCCGAUCCCAAACACCAACUGCUCUCGGGGCUCCCACCCCGCACAUCAGCGCAGGGCGUAGCUUUGGGUUCAGUUUGGACCAAGUUGGGUCCGCUGAAGACCAAGCUCCUCGCACUGUGUUUCGUACAAUAACAGCCCUGAGCAGCUUCCGUGUGCAUCCUGAGACCAAAUUCCUCCAUCCUUCCCUUUCCCUCUGUUUCUUCUCGGUGCUUAUUUCAUCUCUUCCAGGUAACCAUCGAGGCGCACAGGCAAACUUGUCCUCCAGCUCCUCCUGGCUGGAGGUGGAUCCAUCCUGCUGGGUUUCACAGACCUCCAACAUUUAAAAGUUGGGGUCUUAGACCAGUAAAUGGAGGGAGCGAUUGCUCUUAUCUGUUAGGUGAGGAAACUGAGGCACGGGCUACUCAUGGAAAUCAGUCGGAGCUCAGGGCAAGGAUCUCUGCUGGCUUUUUCUUGGAAACCUUGGCUCCCUUUGUGCUCGUUGUGUCUCUGGUUCCCGAGAUGCUGCCGGGAGGGAGGUGACCCCGCUCCCCUCCCUGCCCAGAAGGGAGCAGGAGCUGUUGGGGACGGAGCCGGGGACACGGCCCCGUGCCCAGCUCCAACCCGCUCGCAGGCGGCAGGCGGAAAUAAAACGUAAUUCGGGGCUGCCGGAGCCGGGGAAGAGCGAGAUGAGUCUUGGUGGGGAGAGACCAGCCUCACCUUUCAUAUUCUAAUGCCUUGCCUUUGCCUGAUUUGUGAGCUCUGGGGAGUCCUGCUGGGAAUUCACUCGAACGGAGGCACACGCCGCCGUCCCUCGGUAAAUUACACAGAGAUAUAAUGAAGGAGGAGAAAUCAGUUACUCUGUGACUGCGGCUCCCCAGGGGACCUUAAUUCAAAUAUUUGUGGAGCUGAGCAAGUGGGGCGUUGGGGAGCCGCCGAGUUGGAGUGUCUCUAGACAGGUUUCUUGCAGGUGGUUGGUGACGGCGGGGCCGCGCGCCGGGCUGAAGGAGUCUCCUCAAAGGGGGUUUUGGGCUCCUGACGGCGCUUUGGGUGGUGUUAGCCAAGAGGAAGAUGAUGGAGGAAGACGGGGCCGUGGUCCAGGGCACGCCAGUGCUGUAGACCUUCGGGAGCAGCCAGGACCCUCUGUGCCUGGCCAGCACGCCGCUGCCACCAAACGGGGCACAACCGGGGCUGUCCCCACCUUUGCUGGGUGCGUGCAGCUCCACGAGGCCCCACACUAUAACCUGAGCACUCAGAGAUGCCGAGAGCGAUGCGAGUGAGCGUGAACACCCGCAGCCGUGCACACAACCCUCGCGCACACCCUCGCACGUGCACAUCCACCGGGCCUCCCCGCUGCCGUGCCGGCACCGAGCGCACAGCAGCCACGGAGGCGCACGCACGCUCGCUCCCCACCGGAGCAGCACGGCUCAAUUUCAUCUCCGGGUGCCGGGGCUGCCCCACGCCACAAGGGUAAUCCCGUUCCCACCCCGUGGCACCCGUGGGUGCCCUCCCCUUGCACGCACAGCGCCGCGGCUCUGCGUGCACACGCGGCCGCGCACAGAUCUGCAGCACGCCAACUGUUGGGAAGGGGAGAAAAAAAAAAACAGAUUCAGCCGCGAGAGAGAGAGAGAGGGAGAGGUGGCGGGGGGAGAGAAAGAGAGAGAGAAUGACAGACUGCAAUCCCCCUUGAGUGCCUAUCCUCAUGAAUAUUAAUAAGGUGGUAAUUAAAAUGCAGGGACACAGCAGGACGGAUGCAGGCGCUGCCUUCGGAGCGCUGGGAACGGGGGGAGCGCGUCUUUCCAGGCAGGUUUUGAUUCCGUUCUCUGAUGAAAAGAAGAAAACGGAGCCUUCAACUUUAAUCAGUUUAGAGUUUUUUUGACACGACAUAUCUUUAAUUGCUGAGAUUUCUGCCUCUUCUCAAACCCGGCUCUACCGUCUCCAGUCUAACCGGAGAUAACGAGCCGCGGUGCAGCGCCGCGGAGCCGUGCCGUGUUUACACCUCGACUUGUUUGCUACUUCGCUGGGGUUUCACUUCUCUGCCUCGGGUCGGAGGGCACGGCCCUGCCGCUGCUUCCUUCUGCAACGAGGGGUGGGCGGCUGGAAACGCAGCCCAGCACCUCUUUGUGUAGCCCCCUCCCCACAAAGCGUCCCCAUGGUGCUCGCCGUAACGUCACCUCCUCUGGGUAGGAGGGUUGGAAAAUGGGAGCUGGGUGGUGGCAAGAAGCUUGGGUUGGGCUGGGAAGAGACAUCCACACCACAGGAGGUUCCUCCAGCGUAAAAACAGUUUUCUGCCAUGAUGUUGAGUUACGGAGGAGGAAGGAGGCUUUUUUUCCUCCAAAACCACGGGUUGGAGGUCGGGUGAGGAUCCUCCGGGGGAUGCUCAGGGCAGGCUCGGAGGUGAGCAAGGUGAACCCAAGCGUUCCUUGCUCUUGGAGACGAGAGUCCAACGGGUCUGGUCCAUGGAUGGUGAACCACGUUGCUGGGAAAACAAAUGGGGAGCGAUGGUUGGUGCCCAAAGGGGUCGUGUCUGGUGUGGGAGCUGGGCCAGGGCAACCCAGAGCUGGGCUUUAUGAGGGACUUUCUCACAAAGGACCCACAAAGUACCCCAAACCAGCAUGAAGGUUUGUUUCAGGUCUGCUUUGGGCAGAAAGGUUUUGGUUUCAUUGUGCUUGGAGGGUGCUUAACUUAUUUUUAUUUUUUUUUAGGUCUCCUCUUUCACACUGAGAUUAUAUUUGAGCUGGAAAAAAAAAAAAAAAAAAGUAGAUUUAUUGGAAUGAAAAGGUCACAAAAUUAUUUUAGAAAGUGCCCAAACACACCGAUCCAUCACGUGAACGAUGGAAGAGGAAGGUUUGCAUCUUCAGAGCCUCCUUCCCUGCCCCACACCCACCACAACCCUGCCGAGAAGGAAAAGCAGAGCUGCAGCAUCCCGGAGCCCUGGAGAUUUUGUUGUCUGGGGGGUGGUUUUGGGGUAUAACGGGGUCUUCCCCACCUUGCCUCUUCCCAAGGGAUGUGGGAUCCCUUCCCAGUGCCCAGGACGUGCUGUAGCAGGUGAGGGCUGCCUGCUCAGCCCGAGAGGCACCGGAGCAUCGUUCCCUUGAGGCUCCAUCCCACUCCCCAGACCCUUUUGGCCACCCGGGCAAGAGGAGGACAGCGCCUGGGGCUCGGGGCUAGCAGCAGGGCUUGGCCCCACCAGGCUGAUGCCCUGGAUGCUGCAGGGAGGAGAGAGGCUCCUUGUCGAAACAAAUAUCUGUGCGUGCCCUUAGCCAGCGGGGGCUUUGUGAUGGUUUUUCACGUGUUUUGGUGUGGCAGGGCUGGGGGCUUUAUUUUGCAUUAAAUCCUUCUUGGCUUUUA